AACGUAGGAGGCGAGCGUUAUCCGGAAUUACUGGGCGUAAAGCGCGUGCAGGCGGUUCGGUUAGUUGGAUGUGAAAGCUCCUGGCUUAACUGGGAGAGGUCGUUCAAUACUGCCGGACUUGAGAGUGGUAGAGGGAGAUGGAAUUCCGCAUGUAGUGGUGAAAUGCGUAGAUAUGCGGAGGAACACCAGUGGCGAAAGCGGUCUCCUGGCCCACUUCUGACGCUCAGACGCGAAAGCUAGGGUAGCAAACGGG
rnacentral:rRNA from 2 species